UACGUAGGGACCAAGCGUUGUUCGGAUUUACUGGGCGUAAAGGGCGCGUAGGCGGCAAUUCAAGUCAGCUGUGAAAUCUCCGGGCUUAACUCGGAACGGUCAGCUGAUACUGCUUUGCUAGAGUGCAGAAGGGGCAAUCGGAAUUCUUGGUGUAGCGGUGAAAUGCGUAGAUAUCGGGAGGAACACCAAUGGCGAAGGCAGCUCGCUGGGACGUGACUGACGCUGAGACGCGAAAGCGUGGGGAGCAAACA
rnacentral:rRNA from 1 species